UUUACAGAUAUCAUCAGUAUGAUUUUUUUUUUUUUAAUUUUUUAUUCAAUAUUGAUCUUUAAAAUUAAUUUUUUUGUUUGAAAGUAUCUUGGUAAAUUUACCCAAAGAAUAUUUUUCUCUUUUUUAAUGUUUUUUAAUCAAUUGAAAAUCAUUGAAAAUAUAAUUUACAAUUCUGUAUUGAUAUAUAAAUUAGACGUUUUAAAAGCUAUACACUAUGGGAAAAUGUGACUUUUACCGAAUGUGUUUAGUAAUUAGGUCUGUGUGUAGCUAUGAUUAUAUUAUCCUAAUUCGGUUAUUACUUGCGAUUCCAAUAACGUUUUCGGUGUGGUUCGAUAGGUGAGAAUACAUUUUCCUUACAUAUUCUAAUCUAAUUAAAAUUCCUUUUUUAAACUCCUGUGUUUCUGAAACAUAUUUUGAUUUUUCAUAAUUUUUGUUCGCCUUUGAGCAGCAUAUAGGGCCUAAAAAAAUAAAUUAUUUUAUUUUAUAUUAUAUUGCAUUAAAUUUUAUUUUUCUGAGUUAUAGAGUUAUUGUAAUAGUCGUAAAAGUUAAUUAGUAAAUAUGAUACCAUAAAUAAACUAUGAAAUAAAUAAAUAUAUUAAGUUCAAAUUUAGAUAUUUUCAUAUUUAUACAAAAAAACUAUUCGAAUUUAAAGUUGGUCCCCCCCAACAGAGAAUUUUAUAAAUUUGUUGAGAACUUUUCAAACAAAUCACUAAAUUCUCCACAUUAUUCAUAAUUUAUUAUAAAGAAAUGUAUAAUUAAACUUAUAAAUUACUAUUGGGUAUUUUAUUUAUAGAUAAAGUUUGUAAGUAGUUUUUGAUUUAUUUUAUGCUUUAUUAUAUUAUAAUUAUUUAACACGUGUAUAUGGCUUAAGAUUCCAAAGUUUAUGUUAUAUUAAAUAUAAGUAGGUAGUUACAUUCAAUUCUCAGGAUUCGGAAAAAAUAAAAAUAGUUUGCUAUUUAUUAUUAAAUUUCAAAACUGUGUUCAGUGUAAACUGUUUAAUGUGGAACCUGAAUAAUACUGAAAACUAUCCAUUCAGGAAUUUUUUUGGGUCCCAGCAUGUUCCUAAAGUUUUAUGUAAGAGUUAUUGAGUUAAACCUAAAUAAAAUGGAUCAUUCCAUUAUUUGUAUAUAUGGUAUCGUAUCAAUGUAUAUUGUGUCAGAGAUACAAACUAUUCCCGUAGCUGUGAAAAUUAAACACAACUGUUUAAAUGGUGAUAUUAAUCGUUUUUUUUUUUCAUGUUAUAACGUUAUUAUUUAGUGACAAAUGACAAUCUAUAAGAGUAGUUAAAUAAAUUAACUUACUAGUCAUAUAAACUAAAUAAAUAUAUAAUAAAUCAAUAGACUAACUUAUUACACAAUAGUCGUGUACUGCAUAAGACGGAAUUUUCAGUAGAUCUCAUGGAAUUCCGCAUUACACAGUUUUCACGGUGUGCAAUGUUUAGUUGAAUCCAUGUUCUUAUUGUAAAACAAUAUUAUAAAUAUUUUAUAAUUAAUAACUAGAGUUUGUAUUUUAUUCCAGCUGAGGAUGAAAUACCACAAUAUAUGGGAUAUUGUACGUAUA